UACGUAGGGUGCAAGCGUUAAUCGGAAUUACUGGGCGUAAAGCGUGCGCAGGCGGUUAUGCAAGACAGAUGUGAAAUCCCCGGGCUUAACCUGGGAACUGCGCUUCUAACUGGCAGGCUAGAGUGUGGCAGAGGGGGGUGGAAUUCCACGUGUAGCAGUGAAAUGCGUAGAGAUGUGGAGGAACACCGAUGGCGAAGGCAGCCCCCUGGGCUAACACUGACGCUCAUGCACGAAAGCGUGGGGAGCAAACAGG
rnacentral:rRNA from 1 species